UGAGUGGGUCGAGCGGGCGAGCGUCCGCGCCGGAGACGGUGGCGCAGGCCGAGGCUGGGAGCUCCGGUGCCUGAAGCGGUCUUAAAGAGAUGCGGGAAGGAGUUGCGUCGCGCCUGGGUGAAUCGCGGAAAAUCGGUCAGUGAAAACAUGGCAGCCCGCCUCGGGUGCGUUGGCUCAGGACUUCGUGGAGGGCCGCACUUGCGCCCACGCCUAGGCCAGCCGGAAAGGCGUCGUUGAACGGCGUUGUGGGUGCUGGUGCGUCGCCGAUGGAGCUGGAGGUCAGAGGCCGCUGGCCAGCAGCUUCGUCUUGAAUGAGGGCCGCUGUCUGCCCGUUGAUAGAGGUCGGCUUGCUGUGACGUUCCUAAGCUGCAACGAUUCCUGGUUACUACCAUGAGGUUUGCCUGUCUGCUGUAUGAGACACUGGUGAUAAGAAAAACAUACAGGAAAGGCUCUUCGUUUUACAAGCAUGAAAACACGAUGUUGAGUUUUUUAAUUUUAUGAAUCGAUGGAGACAGCAUGGUUUUUUGGAUGAGAAAUGAUUUGCUUUCAGCUAACCAGCCUUAUUAUCAAAUUAUACUGGUUGAAUGUUAACCUUUAGUCCCUGUUCGAGUUUAAAAUGUUUAAUUGCAAUUAAAACGGAGAUUCUAAGCUGGCGUGGGAAAAUUCUUAGUAAUGUGUUUGUGGAGGAAAAUGACUCACUUUGGUGAUUGGUCACUAAAGGUAUGUGCGGGGAACUAAGGUUUUUAUGGAUUCAUAUAGGUAAAAAGCAGCAAUUACUGGGUGUAGAAAGCAUAAGUUGUUACUAAGCAAGUGGAAUGUUUUAGUUUUGCUGUAAUUACAGUUCUGAAAGUGCAUGCUCGUGGAGAAAUGUGGCCUGGCGUGCUGAAAACAAAGGAAAGAGGGCCCAGCCCAAUUGGCAAGUUUUGAUUAACCACAGUCUGAGGAGAAGGUUCCUGAUAAGAAAACCUGGCAAAAGCUAGGAAAACAUUUACAUGUAAAAGUAAUAGUACCUGAUCUCACCUAAGUGCUUGGGCCUCUCACAUGGUCAUUUUCCAUAAAUAGCUGUAUGAAUAAAUUGUUAUCAAGCCCA